UAAAUUGCUCCAAUCAGCUUACGAUAUCUUCAUAACGAUCUGAUACUACUUAGGUGUGUACUGCCAAAAUACCCGUAAACAUCUCAGCGCCUCUGCAAUAAUGAGUAGGAUAGGCUUAUCUGUGUGUAUUCUUUUAGCAGUGUGCUUCGUAAACUUCAGUCUUACAUCAGCGCUUGACUGCAACCUACCGUGUCUAUUAAGAAUGAUCCCAUUUGAAGAACGUGGCGGCAUAAUAAAUGUGAAACGAAAUGCAGAGUGUUUGGCCGCGUGUCGGAAGACGGGUAUAAGAAAUUGCCCAAAGCAUUGCGGCGGUGAUUCAGCAUUGAGAUAACACGUUUAGUGUCCGGAGUCCUACAAUCACAACUAAGCCUAGGGCUAUCUCACCAAGAUCACAAAAGACGGAUAUAAUCAACUAGACGCCAGCCAGCGGCGAGUUUCACCGAAGUUGCUCGAGGCCGACUUGAACAUGGAUACCACUCUGGCGACUCAAUAACACAGACACACUAUUGUACAAUUUGAUACCAAUAUGAUAUAUGGAUGAUUUCGCCUUGUAUUAUGUAUCAACUUUGCAGAGUUUGUUUCAUUUAUUUAAAAUAGAUAAGUGCUAUAAAAACACAUUUUAAUGUAAGGUAAUGGUUGAAUUUAGAUCAUAAAAGUUGUAUUCACAUAACUACGUGUAUAUAUAUAACGAUAUGUAUAUACUAAUGCAAAAAUUAAUAAGCCUAUAAUUAUGUUAGUAAAAUGUGAGAAUGUGCAAUUUAUUGUAAAAGAGAAACUCACACUGUACAGGAACAGAGAAGCAUGAAAACAAUACAAUUGUACAAAAUGCAAAAUAGUAAAUUAAACAUUAUCCUAAAGGUAAAGAAUUGCUUUUAUUUUAUUUUUAUUAUUUUUUUUAAAUCAUUCUAGAUACAGUGAAUUGUCAGCGUUAAGCAAAAACUCAAACAUUUGAGGAUUUGGACUUGUAAAUUAUUAGGUUAAUUAAGAAAAUAAAGGUUUCUCUUCACAACUAGACACAAAUAAAUUCUGGAUACAGUUAACUGUCUGCAUUUUAGCAAAAACUCAAGCAAAAUUAUUAGGUUUUUGAUCAAGAAUUACAAUAAGAAAAGUUUUUCUUAACAUCAGACACAAAUAAGACAAUACCAUUCUUCGCAUAAGGAUUUUCGAAUAAAAUAGUCUGUAUAUCUGCGUAAC